rnacentral:piRNA from 1 species
UAAGACAGAUGUCAUAGUCA